CUAUAUAAGUCCGGCCAAGCCGAACCGAGCGUUAUUCAGCUGCAGUAAUUAGCAACGUAAACAUGAAUGUAUCAAAACUGUUCGUCUUUCUGGUGCUCAUUAUCGCCAGCCUUUUCGGACAGACGCAAGCAAAAUGGAAAGGAUGGAAAAGACUUGAAAACGUUGGGAAGAAGGUGUUCGACACGGGGGUGGUUGUUGUUGCAGUAGCGGCAUCAGGAAGACGGGGUUGAGGGUGGUGUAGUUUACUAUCAAUGAAUACCUUACUCUUAUUACCUAUGUAACUACUAUAUAUCACAAUAUCAAUAAAUCUACUACAUUUGACUAA